AAAAAAGUGUUAGCAGGUAUUAGAGAGAAAUCUUUUAUAAUUUCUGUUCUUGCUGUAUCUUCAGGGUGAAUAAUACUUUGUAAAAGCUAAAUGGUGUUGAUUGGUUAAAUGAAAUUGAGACAUUAAUCACUAGUGAUUAACACUGGGGAGACCAUACCAGAAUGGAAGCUCAAGCUAAAGGUAGAGAAGACUCACCCCCAACUCUUCAUAACCCUCAGGUGGAAAUGUAGCCUUACUUUGGAGAAUCUAACUCAUCUGCAAGAGUGGGGGUAUAUAAGAUAGGAACAGGCAGAACUUGCGACAUCAACAGUACAGGAAAUUCCCAGAUGAGCAAACUCUCUCUGAUGAUACAAGUGGACUCCUUCCUGCAAAUGAUCAUUGCCCAGAGCUCUGCCUUAAGUGGCUCCUGUGAGGACAAACAGCCAAAAUACGAGAAGCUACGGACUGCAGACUCUCAUAAAUUGGAUCACGGCCACUUUCAGAGAGAUAGGGGAAUGAGUCGCUACUGGAAAAGAAACUCUAUAGAAGAGCUCCCUGCUUCUCCUGGCCAGCCAUUUCUCUCCUCCAGUGCUAUUUCAACCCACCUUUUUGUUUUGCUAGGUGUAGCACACUUCAUGGCACCACAAUACACCAACUGGGAGAACACUUUAGUAGGCAGCUAGGUCGCAGAUUAAAUAGAGCACUGGGACUGGAAUCAGAAAGACCUGAACUCAAAUACAACCUAAGAUAAUUACAAGCUUCCUUGAUAGCAAAGUGUUAUAAUGUCAAAGAGUCAAACACAUACAUCCACAAAGCACCCUGCAGAAAGCAAGGAAACAAACUCCCGGCAAAUGAAGUCAUCACAUAUGAAAACCUCCCUGGAACUGGAAAAUCUCUCUGGAACUGAGUAUGAGGUCUCCAAAUGGAGGGCAGAGUUGUGAAAACUAAACUGCACCAUAGCCCAUGUUCACAUCCAUUAUCCAGGGGACAAAUAAUUUCUUCUUAAGGACAAUAGGUCUUUUGAACUUGGUUGAUAUCACAUCCCAUCAAAUUCAAAGCAAAAUUAUAUGUCAGAGUUGGA